UGCUGUUUAGCCGCUCAGGCAUGUCUGACUCUGCAACCCCAUGGACUGUAGCCCACCAGGCCCCUCUGUCCAUGGGAUUCUCCAGUUCUGAAAUUCUAACCUUUUAGGAAGAUUUCUGGACCCUGAAAUCUUGCCAGAGACAAACUAUGCAUUGCUAGCUCGAAGAUUUCUCAACGCGUUUGAGACAGAAGGGUAUCUGUUCCGUUUUUACCGGAUCCCAGAGAGGCGGGCAGCAUCCCAAGGCGGCUCUCUGGAUUUUACAGCUGGGGAAACUGAGGCACGGGGCCGCCCACAACUCCUUCA
ensembl:lncRNA